GUCCAUAUUACAUUGAAAUGCCAGUUCUCAUACAAUCACCAAAGUUAAGCAACAUCAAGCCUGGUCAGUACCUAGAUAGGUGACCACUUGGGAAUACCAAGUGGUGUU